rnacentral:rRNA from 1 species
GAUGAACGCUGGCGGCGUGCCUAAUACAUGCAAGUCGAGCGAACGGGCGAGAAGCUUGCUUCUCUGAUGUUAGCGGCGGACGGGUGAGUAACACGUGGAUAACCUACCUAUAAGACUGGGAUAACUUCGGGAAACCGGAGCUAAUACCGGAUAAUAUUUUGAACCGCAUGGUUCAAAAGUGAAAGACGGUCUUGCUGUCACUUAUAGAUGGAUCCGCGCUGCAUUAGCUAGUUGGUAAGGUAACGGCUUACCAAGGCAACGAUGCAUAGCCGACCUGAGAGGGUGAUCGGCCACACUGGAACUGAGACACGGUCCAGACUCCUACGGGAGGCAGCAGUAGGGAAUAUUCCGCAAUGGGCGAAAGCCUGACGGAGCAACGCCGCGUGAGUGAUGAAGGUCUUCGGAUCGUAAAACUCUGUUAUUAGGGAAGAACAUAUGUGUAAGUAACUGUGCACAUCUUGACGGUACCUAAUCAGAAAGCCACGGCUAACUACGUG